rnacentral:rRNA from 1 species
ACGCCGCGUGAGUGAGAAGGUCUUCCGAUUGAAAGCUCUGUCCUUAGGGAAGAACCGUGGGUAUAGUUAAUGAUACCCACCUGACGGUACCUUUGGAGGAAGCACUGGCUAACUACGUGCCAGCAGCCGCGGUAAUACGUAGAGUGCAAGCGUUGUCCGGAAUUAUUGGGCGUAAAGGGUACCCAGGCGGAUGAUCAAGUCAAGCGUGAAAGGUGUCGGCUUAACCGACAGACUGCGUUUGAAACUGGUUAUCUUGAGUGCAACAGAGGAGAGUGGAAUUCCUAGUGUAGUUGUGAAACACGUAGAUAUUAGGAAGAACACCAGUGGCGAAGGCGACUCUCUGGGUUAACACUGACGCUGAGGUACGAAAGCUGGGGGAGCGAACGGGAUUAGAUACCCCGGUAGUCCCAGCCGUAAACGAUGGAUACUAGGUGUUGGAGGUUCCAAUCCCUUCAGUGCCGGAGUUAACGCAUUAAGUAUCCCGCCUGGGAUUACGAUCGCCAGAUUGAAACUCCAAGGAAUUGACGGGGGCCCGCACAAGCGGGGGGACCAUGUGGUUUAAUUCCAACCCACGCCAAAAACCUUACCGAGAAUUGACCUCCCCGUGACCCUCUAUGAAAGUAGAAUUUUGG